UCAAACGGGUUAGCCCACCUAUCCACUAGGAGGAGAGGAGAGGCUGUUUGAGGAGCGACCAAACAAUAAACGGCUACUACUACUAACCACAACCUCGGGAGUUCACGCCAGAGGAGUACCGAGCGACCACCGAGCGACCGCCGAGACAAACGCCGUCGCGUCCUUGUCCUCGGAGUGAAUUAACAGCCAUGUAUCUGAACCGGGAAGAGCACAACAGCAAAGGCUCAGUGUCCCUCAGCGUGUUCCUGGUCUCUCUCGCUGUGACAGUGUGUGCUGUUUGGCUGGUGGCUCUUUGUGGCGUCUGUGGUUGGUGUCAACGCAAGCUGGGGAAGAGGAAUAAGCCAGGAGUGGAAACAGCAGACACUCCAGACUCGGCACGUGGGCGAGGGGAGAAGAAAGCCAUCAAUGAUCUAGACAGAGACUUUUGGAAUAACAAUGACAGCAGCACAGUGCAGCAGAGGUGGAGCUCCUAUCCGCCCAAGGAGUUCGUACUAAACAUUUCUCCCUAUGCCCCAUAUGGAGAUCCUCGCCUCACACUCAAUGGGGCAGUGUCAGGGGGUCAGAAGGGGGCAGCAACUGGGCAUGGGGAUGAUGGGGGGGUUCCUUAUCGCAGUGACAGCGUGAAGAGCAUGGUGACAGAGGGCGUGAAGGCCGGGAGGUGGCAGACCGUCCAGGGCCACAUGCAGUCCGGAGGAUUGAGACCCAGCGACUUUGGGGAUCCAGUCCUGUCGUACACGUCCACCCUGGAGCACAUCCCCACCCGGCCUCGGACGCUGCUGCGCCAGCAGAGUCUUCAGCAGCCGCUCAUCCACCCACCGGUCCCUGUUCUCGUCCAUCCCCCCACCACAUCCCAAAGUUUGGGACAGUUACACACGGCACCUGGACAGCCCGGGGGAGGCGGGGGCGCCGGGAGAGGAGAGGCAGGUGGCGGCAGUGGCGAGGGUGGCCUUGCAGGCACGAGAGGCGGCCCCCGGGGCGUACGGGGCGCCCCGUCCCGCCACAGGGGAGGAGGUGGAGCAGGGCGCUCUCGUGGCAAUCCCGGCAGCUGGGAUUACACGAUGGACCAGAUGCGGAGUCGUGGCCUGGACGUCAAGUCCUUCCUUGAGGGGAAGCUGGUGGUCCUGGCUCUGGCCAUUGGUGUGGCCGAGCAAGAUGACUUUGCCAAUAUCCCUGACCUGCAGGAAACAGCGCAGGCACCACCACCAGCCAAUCAGGAGCCCCCUCCUGAGAAGAGGGGCAGCAAGCCAGCUAACAGUCCCAAGGGCCAACCCCCGGAUGCUGACGGCAAAUCCUCCGUCACCGACCUGGCCAACUCGCUCACUGGAGACAUGGUGAUGCUGUCCCCAGGUUCGGAGGACGAUGACGGUGAAGGGCCCGUCAGUGAGAAGCUGGGCCGGAUCCAGUUCAGCAUAGGCUACAGCUUCCAGAACACAACCCUCACCGUCAAACUCCUCAGGGGCCAGGAGCUCCCGGCCAAGGACUUCUCCGGCACCUCCGAUCCCUUUGUCAAAAUCUACCUGCUGCCUGACAAAAAAAACAAGCUGGAGACCAAGAUCAAGAGGAAGAACCUCAACCCCCACUGGAACGAAACCUUCCUGUUUGAGGGCUUCCCUUACGAGAAGGUGAGAGAGCGCACUCUAUACCUUCAGGUGUUGGACUACGACCGCUUCAGCAGGAAUGACCCCAUUGGAGAGGUGUCAAUCCCCCUUAACAAGGUGGAACUGGGCCAGAUAAAGACCUUCUGGAAGGAGCUCAAGCCCUGCAGUGAUGGCAGCGGGAGACGAGGAGACCUGCUGUUGUCUCUCUGCUACAAUCCCACAGCCAACAUCAUCACAGUGAACAUCAUCAAAGCGCGAAAUCUCAAAGCCAUGGAUAUUGGGGGCACCUCAGAUCCAUACGUGAAGGUGUGGCUGAUGCACAAGGACAAGCGCGUAGAGAAGAAGAAGACGGUGACGAUGAAGCGCUGUCUGAACCCCGUUUUCAACGAGUCAUUCCCCUUCGAAGUGGCCGCCCAUGUGCUGAGGGAGACCACCAUCAUCAUCACCGUCAUGGACAAGGACAGGCUUAGCCGCAACGACGUCAUCGGCAAGAUCUACCUAUCGUGGAAGAGUGGACCAGCGGAGGUAAAGCACUGGAAAGACAUGCUCGCUCGGCCGCGUACUAACGUCGCCCAGUGGCACGCUCUGAAGGCCUGAACGCACCGCCCGGCUUCCUCCGUGACCCCUUCCCCCGUCUCCUGCUCCUCCCCCCUCUCCUCCUUCCACUCCCGUCCUUAUGCACAAGACUGACUUGCUGCCAGGCUGCGAAACACGGGGCUCAUGAGGCUGAUGGUGAACCCAUUAAGCAGACGACCUUUCACUCUGGAAUCACUAAUCAUCGCUGGUGCUGAAUCUCCUAGCAACAAGACUUGUUUACCUACAAACCACAAGACAGAAAAGUGAACAGCAAACACUGCAGAGCUCUGUUGGAUUCUGUCAAACCUAAAAUCAAAAGUCGCAAGUUGUUUGCUGCUUUUGUUGUUGUUGUUGGUUACAGCACUGUGCACAUGCCCAGAGGAUUUUUACCAUCCGUCACUGGUGUGUCAGUGAGAGUUUCCAUUGCAGUGAUCACGAGUUGACUCCUGUUAUCUGACAGUUGCACGUCUCAAACUAACCGACGCUGCCAACCUCACAUCGGGUCUGAUUAUACGGGCUCUUCAUUAACAAGUCCAGACACAGCGGCUUCCCUCACCUUCCAAAAACAAGGACUGUGGAGGAAAAGGUAAGACACAGAAUUAUAACAACCCCUUGGGCGAUGUUGGGACCCGUUACAAGCGCAUAAAUAAAAAGUAGUACAUUUCUCAUUAUCUGCCUUCAUGAAUAUUUCUCCUCAGACAGAAUACCAAAGAUUGUUUGUGCUACAUCGGCCCACAACAGGUAGAAUAACAAUAGACCUGUUUAUGUGAUUUUAACGGGUUAACCUUUCUGUUCUUUUAUUCUAGUUGUAUUGUAUCUAUUAAGACAAUGAGUAUUUCCCAUGACUUGUUUGUGGAAGUGCACACUUUAGCACUUCCUCCAGUUCCCCGUGUGGUGAGACACAGUGUCCCUGAGGGAAGAGCCCUUCUGAUGGACACUUUUGGGGAGAAGAACAGCUGCAGGGGCAUGAAGGCGAAACCAAGCAGGUACACUAGCCGCUUUUCUCCAGAAACAGCAUUCUUUCGAGGUCUGGCCUGGCCACCCUCUCUUCUGCUUUCACUACGGCCUGAAAGCAAUGCACCAACUGUCGCGUCCGUGGGAAAAAAGGAGCCCACAGGGUUUGGUCGCAUGACCUCGAGCAACCAGAUUUUUCCCGACACACCGUUUGAUUGUUCACACUUCAACACCACCUACAAAAGCUCGUUUCGCCCUGAUGACGAUUCUAAAGAUUCUCUAUCGGGCCGUAUUGGAGCAAGAAGCAUCUGUGGAACGAGGGACAGCGGCUACAGUCGUCGAGGCAUCGACCACGUGCAACAAACAACAAGCAAGCUGCACACAGGGGCUAAACAGGGGCUUAUCUUCAUGGAUAAAAAAAAUAAACUCUAGAGCUUCUUGUUAA